rnacentral:rRNA from 1 species
AUUGAACGCUGGCGGCAGGCCUAACACAUGCAAGUCGAGCGGAUCGCCGGACGGGUGCGUAAUGCCUAGGAAUCUGCCUGGUCGUGGGGGAUAACGUCCGGAACCGGCCCCUAUUACCGCUACCUCUCGGUGGAGCCUAGGUCGGAUUAGCUUGUUGGUGGGGUAAAGGCCUACCAAGGCGACGAUCCGUAACUGGUCUGGGAGGAUGAUCAGUCACACUGGAACUGAGACACGGUCCAGACUCCUACGGGAGGCAGCAGUGGGGAAUAUUGGACAAUGGGCGAAAGCCUGAUCCAGCCAUGCCGCGUGUGUGAAGAAGGUCUUCGGAUUGUAAAGCACUUUAAGUUGGGAGGCGUUACCAACAGAAUAAGCACCGGCUAACUUCGUGCCAGCAGCCGCGGUAAUAC